UACGUAGGGUGCAGGCGUUAAUCGGAAUUACUGGGCGUAAAGCGCACGUAGGCGGCUUGGUAUGUCGGGUGUGAAAUCCCCAGGCUCAACCUGGGAACUGCGUCCGAUACUGGAUGGCUUGAAUUCGGGAGAGGGAUGCAGAAUUCCAGGUGUAGCGGUGAAAUGCGUAGAUAUCUGGAGGAAUACCGGUGGCGAAGGCGGCAUCCUGGACCGACAUUGACGCUGAUGAGCGAAAGCUAGGGGAGCAAACGGG
rnacentral:rRNA from 1 species